CCGUACUUGGAAGAGUUAAGUAGCCUAUGACUCUGGGACCGCCGGCCUUGAAUAAUACCUGCAAAUCUUUGCAUUCUUUCUUAUCCUAAUAGACGGACGUUUUCCUAUUUUUAUAUGCUGUGAACAUUUGAAAUCAUUAUCAAAUUCCACCACACCACAUUGCCACACCGCCAAAUAAAAAAAAAUUGCAAAUUUACAUGAAGCAAUUGCGUCUCGUUGGCAAUGCUUCAAUUCCCAAAAUGGCUGCUUCCAGAGUGAAAAACUCACGUGACAGUUGACAGAUGACCGCGUUUUGAGGAAGAUCUUGCCUUUCUCCACGUGAUCGUUGACGUGUCAUGAAGAUGUGUAUUUGAGAGGGUCUCUACUGCAUUGCAAGACAACUGAUCCUUAGACUUGCUCCAACGGUGAAACUAAGAAGACGUUGCUGAAUUCAAGAUUGAUCAAUAAAUUAUGUAGAUAAAUUACAAGUGCAUAAUCUGGGCUCCCUUCUUCAGUGGCCCCGUUUCCCUAAAUAACCACUAACCAACGCCCGCCGGUGGUCACUCACUCGCUGCGACAACCAGGAGGAAGGGAGAUGUUUGGUCGAACGGGGACUUGCAAGGCGCAUGAUUCGAUGAAAUCUGUUGGAGGGUCAUGAGUCUAAGCCGGAAGCCUACUAUGACACAGUGCUCUCAUAAUAACUGCUCCUCAGCUCUCUUCGCUCUUUUUCCGGUUUCUCUUAACCAUGGCCGGGUAACCUCCCUGGUCGAGUCAGUCGGGCAGCGUCUCCCCCUGCUUGACUGGCAGCAGUUUGUACCGGACGGUUUGUUUAAUAAA